rnacentral:lncRNA from 1 species
GUCUUUUUUUUUGUAGUGUCAAGAACAUUUUCUAUUCGAGACAAAUUAGCAGCUACGGAAUUCCCAGCUCCCUUUCAAUCAAUAAUAUGCAGGUCAAAUUCUUGUAGCAGUAGAACCCACCUAAUGAGUCUAGGUUUAGCAUCUUUCUUUUCCAUAAGAUAUUUAAUAGCAACAUGAUCGGUGUGAACAAUUACUUUAGAGUCAACAAUGUAGGAUCUAAAUUUAUCACAUGCAAACACAACUGCUAAAAAUUCUUUCUCAAUAGUAGCAUAAUUUCUCUGAGCAAUGUCUAGAGUUUUACGAGCAUAAUGUAUAACAUUUAAUUUCUUAUGAACUCUUUGUCCUAGAAUAACACCAACGGCAUAAUCACUAGCAUCACACAUAAUUUCAAAAGGCAAGUUCCAAUCAGGUUGUUGAACAAUAGGUGCAGAAGUUAAGGCUUUCUUAAGUGUUUCAAAGGCUUGUACACAAUCAUCAUCAAAAUAAAUGGAAAAUAUUUUUGCAAAAGAUUAGUAAGAGGCCUAGAAAUUUUAGAGAAGUCUUUAAUGAACCUCCUAUAGAAACUAACAUGACCAAGGAAACUUCUUAUACCUUUAAUAUCUUUAGGACAUGGCAUUUUCUCAAUUGCAUCAACUUUAGCUUUAUCUACUACAAUACCUUGUUCGGAAAUUUUAUGCCCCAAGACAAUACCUUCAUUUACCAUAAAGUGGCAAUUCUCCAAUUCAAGACAAGAUUAAUUUGUUCGUAUCUCUGCAAAACUCGAUCAAGGUUGCUUAAGCAAUCAUCAAAAGAAGUCCCGUAAACGGAAAAGUCGUCCAUGAAAACCUCAACAAUCUUUUCACAAAAGUCAGAGAAUAUAGCAGUCAUACAUCUUUGAAAGUUAGCAGGUGCAUUGCAUAAACCAAAAGGCAUACGUCUAUAAGCAUAAGUUCCAAAAGGGCAAGUAAAGUAGUUUUCUCUUGAUCUUCUUUUGACACGGGAAUUUGAGAGAAACCAGAAUAUCCAUCAAGGAAACAAAAGUGUGUAUGCUUGGACAGUCUUUCUAACAUUUGAUCAAUAGAAUGUAAGGGGUAACGAUCUUUUCUAGUAGCAUUGUUUAAUUUGAUCAAUAGAAGGCAAGAGUGACGUGUGCUUUUCGUUUGGGAUCCCACACGUUUCCUGGAAAAAAUUGACAGAAAGACUGUAAGGGAACCCCUUACAGUAUAAUUGGUGCAACAAACCCAAAUUGCAAGUACCAUGCCUUGAACCUGGGUGGGUGGGAAGGCAUCAGCCCCUUCCCACCACUAGGCUAUGCCUUAGUCUGCAGUUUCCUGAAAAAAUUAAAAAAUUAUGGCUGGGAUUGUAUUUUACAUUGGGCACGGUUUACUCCCAGUUCUCGUGUGCGAUAACACGAUAUCACAAACAGUUCUGGAGACCCUACGCACACGUAAUAGUGCUACAAAUCGUUUGCGAUCUGCUGUGUAUCACCGGUGGUUCCUCUACGAUUGACGUAUGCUUUCCGAUGUGGAUCGCACACACUCAUCCAGUUGAACCGUGUGCGGAGCAAUUGCCAGGUUAAAACAAAAAUAUCCCAUUUUGAAUCGGCAUGCAAAAAGCAAAUUCGCCACAAUAUUCAAUUGAACAAAUAACAAAAAUAUCAUAUUUUGAAUCGGCACGCAAAAAGCAAAUUCGCCACAAUAUUCAAUUGAACAAAUAGUGUCCACAGGAAGAACAUUCAUCACAUUUCGCAAAAAUUGCAAUUGAACAUAUGGUAGCUAAAUUCCAAUGAUUUGUCCACACAUAUAUGCAUUACAUAAUUAAUCAUAGUGUACGAAAUAUGAAGACCUCAUCAGAUGGAAAACAAUGGAUCCAUGCGUUAUAUGUUUAGCGGCUAACUCUUACUCAAUGUUUCAGGAGAACGCAUGCUGAAAUCUUCAUUAUCACCAGUGGGAUUGAUGUUGUGAUCCAGGAAGAAGUCGCUGAUAAAUCUCUGAACCAUCAACAAUUCACCAGCCGGAAGCGGUUCAGGGGUCCUCAGUUUUAAGAUGAGCUACAUUGUUUUUAAGGUCAAAAUGUGCCAUAUGAGUGGAGUAGAAGAUAUUAAUUAAGAUAGACUUACUGGUACUAAUGCACGAGGAUCGUCACAACUAUCAGCAGAUUUGCAGAUGGAGAUCAUGUGUCUACAAACAUAGUAUCCACAAAGGUUGGUCCCUGCUUCUUGUUGAGGACACUGAAAUUUUUUGUACAGAAUUAGUCAUGUAUUUGUCCUGUUAGGAACAACCUAACCGGUGUUAGAUGUAUUGUUUUUUCUUUGGAAAAAAUAGAAAGAGGUUUAUUUAGAAGCUUGAACAUUUGACUAGUGUAAGGAAAGGUAUUUGCAAACUGUUGGAUAAAUUUUCCAAAAAUAACGGAUUUCGGUGUGUUACCGGAGAAACGAUCUCGUGCUGCAGAGGUAGUUCCCUCUUGAACAGGUUCCCUGGUUUAGUUUUCCACAAUGUGAGCACACUGCAAAUGAUAAUGAAUUUUGACAACAUCAAUUAUUGAACCAGAUAUGAAUGCAAAUUAAUUUCAACAUCAUAGAAUUCAAUACCUAUCCAUGAAUUGCUGAAGAUGCGUCAGAUCCUGAGCGUUUGUUGACUCUCUCAGAGAAUCAAUGCAGUAAACUAUGUUCUUGUUUGGAACAAUGAAUACCAAUAUCCAGUGAUCGCUACAUAUUAAGAAAGCCACGAACUUACGAAUUAUGUCAAAAUCUGAAAGACAAUAAGUGUAUGCGUGGUUCUUUACUUGACUUACCGUUCAUGAUAUGGCCAGAGAAAUAAUUCUACAUGGGACGUGUUUUCGAAGAGACGGGCAACCGUGUUAACGCCCCAGUCCCGUAGGUCCUUACCAUGUAUUGUUGUGCCAUUUGCUAAUUCAGGAUCUAUGAAAUACACACUCUCCCUUUUUCUUCACUGCGCGUUCAAUCCCCUAAGAGGAAUAAAAUGCAGUUGGCUCUUUAUCAUUUGCAGCCUUGUAUGAAGAAGUUGAUCAGACUUUUCAAGUACUUACAAAAUCAGGCAUCUAACAAGAGUGGCAUUGAGCACGUUGAUGUUGAAGAAGAGAUGUAAGUCCUCGAAACACACAUUGAUGGAAUCAGCAUCGUGUCGGAAAUGAUCUCUAUUGUAGUGGACUAGCAAACCAUGAAGACCUGCUGACAUUUGAUCCAUGCAAUAUUCAUGUAACUCGCGGUAACUGGAGCUGCACUCACCAAAGUAUUUGCCAACAAGAAAUGGCCGGCCAUGGACGUAAUUGCGUGCUUCAAGUACGUCUGCUUUACUUAUAGCAAGCAACAAACAUACUUCUUCAUCAUCCAUGGCGUCAGAAAUAAUAUUACUCCCCGAUUCGAACAAGAUGCUAUUAAUUUGGUUCUGGGCGAUGAGUGCUUUAAGUAAGAGGCAAUCGUUCUCUUUCCUCUUCACUCUCCCGCCGCGCUUCCUCGUGGUCGUGGGUGUAGCCUUUUUGGCCACUUCCUUAUUGGUACUUGAAGCAUUUCUGGCAGAACGUCUGGUUGCCUGCAAGGUAGACUGCCGACCAGACGAUGAAGCUUGGACGGACUGCUUAGCAGAAGGUUUAUCUAUGCCGGACCGCUGAGCUGGCGAUGCUGCUGUGACAGACUGCUGGGCUGUAGGAGCAGAGGCAUCAAACUGCUGACCAUGCGUUGAAGUAAUGUCGGGUUUCUGCGCAGGUGGUGCCAACUUGUCGGUGUGCUGAGGAGGCCGUGCCAAGGCGUUGGUUUGCUGAGCGGGAAGUGCUGAUGCAUUGGUAUGCUGAUCAUGCGACUGUGGACCGACGGACUGAUGAGAAGUCGGUUCUGGACCUACAGACUGCUUAGUAGGCGGUUCCGAAGCAUCAGACUGCUGAGCAGUCUGUUCCACCAGGUUGGUCUACUGAGCAUGUGUUGCAGCUGGGUCUCCCCCCGCAGCUUCAGCGGCCAGCAUCUGAACCGGUGGUGCGCCUUCAGCAGUUCUAGGCCUUGCCACUGGCUGCUUUGGGGUGGAGGAUGACAUGGGCUGUACGCCACAAAGUCGGGCCAGCUAAUCACAGGUUGAUGCAUCAGCCCGCGAGAGCUGCUGUGGCAAGGAGAGCAUCACCGGUUGAGGGGCGAUAGUGGUUGCUCUUGGUGGGGUUUCAGGGAUCUCAUCGAUGAACUCUAUUUCCUUUCGUGGCCACUGGAUGUGAUGUAAUAGUGUUUCUCCCAAGGUCCUUUGCUCAUCGAAGUCUCCUAGGAUAUUCUUCAGGGUAAAUUCAUUGAAUCCAGGCUUUACUUCAUCACGUAGCACUUCACAUAGCCCGGCUUCAAUGGCACAUUGUCCAAGAAGAGGCCGUCUUCCAAGAAGGGUGGGCAAACCCAGGUUGUUCCACAUUUUACCUUCAUAAUGUGUAAGCAUGCCCUUCAGUCUGUCUUUCAUUCCACAUAGAUCAGAUAUAGCAUCAUCAUGAGCAGCUGCAGUCUCAGCAUCGUUGGGGUCAGCUGAUGCACAGCUACUCUUGUGCACUGUUGUCGCGUAAUAAGCAACAUCCUCCAUGCCCGCCUCCCCUCCCAUCUGCUGGCUAUUUGUCAGUGUUAGAGUCUUCUACAUCAUCAUUGACUCCUCAACAUCCUUUCGAAUAGCCAGAUAAAUCUCCUUCCUCAACCUUUCAUACAAUGCAUUCUGCGUCAUUUCACUCCUCGCUUUUUUCAUGCUGAGCAUCUCUUCUUUGCUGAGUGUGAAAGCCCUCUUGUGCGGGACAUUAACACCUAUACCCCUUGCAUGGCCAGGGGGCUCUUUUGCUUCCAGAGCAAUGGACAGAAUGUCACAUGGCCCUGAGUUCUUGUAGAACCUUCCAGGGAUCUUGGAAGCCUCUAACAUCACUUCAUACAGUUUGGCGUCACGUGAGUUUUCAAAGUAAUAAGUUACGUCAUCACGCCUCUUUGCACGUGCCUGCAAGUAGUCUGUGGCGCAUUCGCCCCUGAUUUCACUAAAGGCCGGAUUCCCACCCGCCGCUACUACUUCUUUGUCCUCCUAUUCCCAUAUCAGUUUCAUGCUGUAGUAUCCUGCCACACCCAUACGGUGUGGGUGUAUGUUCUUCUUCUGAAGUUCCGAUUGCUUGAAACUCUUCUCAGCAGACUCUUUAGUUGCCCUGACCCUUUUGAAUUCUGCCCAGUCUGCCUUUGUAAUUUGGGGGUAUGCGGGGAUUGGGUCCUUGCCUUCACUCAAGUACUUCUUGUCCAGCACAUGCUUCCAGUUUCUCCAAGCAUCCCUAGCCUUCUUCAGUGCGGUGUGUUCCACCUGCAUUCUCCACUGCUCUGGAACGUUGAAGUGAUCCAUGAUCUCCCGGACUAUCCUUCGCCGUGUUUUUGUGUCGGCCUUCCAAAACCCCGGCAGAUUAAUGUUGAGCCUUGCCCUGCCAACAAAUCCACACACACUCCUAAACCUCGUGCGUGCUUUAUCUGGUUUAGUUGGAGCCCAAGACUUUAAAUCAAUCUCGGUUACUUCAUAUACACCUUUAGGCUGGUGUGUGGGCUUCCUUGGAGCGUUCCUCCGUGUCCUGACCGGAAGGGUAAUUGCUGCAGCUCUAUCCCAUUCAAGAUUACUUGAACCCUCACAAUCUGCUGAAGACAUAGGGUUGUCCGAAUCAGAUGAAGAUACAUCGCCUAAAGCAUGAGUGAUGUCGCUGCUACUCGGCAUCUACAGAGAACACAUGCGAAACUCGGGAAAGGAGGAUAAGCAUAAAACUAACAACUUGGUAUCAAGCUUUCUAAACAUGCCAUGCAAUAAUUUAGAAAAUGUACGGCUAAUUUGUUAAGUUUGUGUGACUCGGGUGCCGCGAUCUGUAAAUAGGCAGUAACUUAUUGGAACAAAUACAGCUUAUAUGUAGUAAGGAAGAUAGAUAAUGAACAUAUAUAUGCUCUCCGUUAUUUUAUAGCCAAUUUGGGAACAUAAGGAACAAAAUUGGAAGAGGGAUUGCGAGGAAAUCUGCCAAACCGCGAUGGAGAGCAGUAACUAACAGGCUUCUUAAUGCAAACCCGACCGGACCAUAGGAGAGGCGAGGGUUACUGCAUCGAUAUGCUCAAGGGUGGCUGGCGAGCAAACGAAGACGGCGAGGUGCGGGCCGUCGCCUGUUGGGAACGGUAGUUGAGGUAGGCUUGACACCGAAGAGCGGGCACACGGGCGGGGUGAGCACGGCGGCGCCGGAGAGGGUUCUGCUGUGGAUCUGGGGGAGGGGGAGCUGGCGAUGGAGAUUGGGUGGACUACUUGAGUGAAACGCGGGCGGACGGUGGGGGUGUUGGGGACUCCGGGUGUUGGCGGCCUAGGUGAAAAGGGUGAAAAAUAUCCCCGGUCGCCGCGCGCGCGGAAAGGCCUAUGCAAACAGUUGCCUCUAAGCGCUCUUGUGCACAAACGGAAUAAUUUCGUUUGAAAUGAAGACGUGAGUUCAUCGUUUCGCCUCUAAACAAUCACAAUUAUACCACGGGUUUGAUUUGCUGGCGCAUUUCAGUUCUCGUGUGCUAUAUGUAAGACAUUUUUUGGUAUUUACCACGCAUUUUGGCAUAUAAAUCAAUUCCUAGCCGGACUGCAUUUCCUGUCGAAAGGGAUGAGGAUUGUCGUUCGUCUGGGAGCAUCCAACGGUGCAGACGUACGAUCUUUGGGGUUUGGGUUCUGGCCAAUCAGAGCGCACGACUCAGAUCGCGCGCGCAGCAAAGGGGGGCAUCGGCCACGGUUUGGUAGGCACACGGCUUUCGUGUGUGAACUGCGUGCUAUUUGAAAACAUUUUUUUGGAGGGGAUAUUUGAAAACAUUUAUAUGUGCUAUCGAAAGGGAUGAGGAUCGCCGUUCGAUCAAGGAGAAUCCAACGGUGCAGACGUACGAUCCAUGGGGUUUGGGUUCUGGCCAAUCAGAACGCACGACUCAGAUCGCGCGCGUGGCAGAGGGGGGCAUCGGCCACGUUCUAGUGGACACACGGCUUUCAUGAGUGAAUUGUGUGCUAUUUUGAAAACAUUUACAUUACCUAACAUCAUAUUUUUGUUCGAUUGAAAACAUGAGCUCAUCGUUUCGCGUCCAAUUUUUUUCCACGGUAAGAAAUCACGAUUGUACCCUAUGGUUCGAUUUUCUGGUACAUUUUACCACGCGGCAAGCCUCGCUAGCAAUCUCAAACUAUCAAUGUGCAAAAAAAAGAGAUCUCAUUUGUAUGUGUAUAUAUAUAGUCGCAACUACACGUGUGUGUUAGCAACAUCAUUUGUGUUGCUUUGCGAGGUUUCAUUCAUUGUGCGAGAAACGGGAAAAAACUUCAAACAGUUCGGUCGCAGGGUGCGGCCAGAGGCAUAGGCCUUGUUGGUAUUUUAAUUUCAGGAAAUGCAUAUAGAGUCCAAUUCUAUUUCAGGAUUGACCUCCUAUGACGCUGCCACCGCCCACCGACCAAGGAUUGACCUCUUCUCCGGUAGCCGCUGCCUAGGCCGCUGCCAUCUCUAUAUGCAGAGCAGCUAUUUUUUUUUACGGAUAUCCGCAGAGCGGCUGUUUACACAGUAUCUCACCGUAACUCAAUUAUAUGGACAGGGUAGUACAUCACAUACGGUUAUGUAACGGCAACCAUGUCUAACCUACGUUGUCCUCUCACACGGUUUGGUGUGGAAAUCGUGUGUGACGUUGUAAUACCUAACACAAACGACAUGUAUAAACAGUGUGUCGUAUACAACAUAUAGUGCCAUAAGUAGUUCCCGACCGUUAGCUUAUCUCCACAGUUUCCCCAUUUCCCCCAAAUCCCUACAUAGCCUCCAAAUUCCCUUGCAUGGCACUGACAUUAGGGGAAUGCAGACGAGUGGUGCUGAUGGUUUCGGUGCGGCUGCUCCUGCUCGUAUCGCCGCCACGACGGCGGUCGCCGCCGAGCACUUGCCUAAGGUCAUCAGAAGGCGGGUGUACUAUGGAUCUGAAUCAUCCUGUCAGGUUUCAAUCUAUCCCGAUCUUUUUUAGCAUGUCCAAAGUAUAGCUCCUUGCUGAAUCUGUCCUGAAUGACCCCCCCCCCUCUCCCCUAGGAAAGCGAUCUGCCGCUGGAUCCGGCGCAUGACUCCAGACUCCCGCAACACGAGUUCGACUCCGAGUUUUGCGCCACCGAGAAGUACCAAAGCUGAGUUGUGUGCACGGGCACACUCCCACUCGACGUGUAUGCACGGAGGGAUUCGACAUUGGCAGGCGGUUUCUCAGUUGCCCCUUAUAGGUUAGUGCUAAUUAAGUUCAUCAUUUUACUUCAGUUAAUGCCACCGCUCAUCCUGAAUACUAUUUAACAUUGGCAGGGAUAUGAGACUUGUGCCUUUGUUAACUGGCUGGAUGAAGAAUGGCAUGGUAGGGCUCGGAGUGUUAUCACCAAGCUCGCAGAAGAUAACGUAAAGCUGAAGAAGAAACUGGCUGACCUGGAAUGUACAAUCAGUAUGAUCAAGCAAGAAAGAAUCAAUCACAGGCAACAGAUGAAAGCAAGAGACAAGAAGGAACUAGCAUGUGUAGUUGUGGUUGUCGCAUUAGCCAUGUUCUAUGCGCUAUUUGCAAUGAUGAUUAGGGGUUUUUGUCACGCCCAAGAUGCGACUCUAUCCUAAAGGAACUCAAAGGUCCCACCAAGGAUAGAAGCGCAUCUUGAAGACGCUUUUGCAAGGUGGAUAUCAUUAUAUCAACAUUACAUAAAAGAUGGGGAAACAUACAAAAGGCACAAACGCCCCAAAAAUACAUCAAUACAUCAUACACAAGAUCAACAUCCGACUACGGAUGAAACACAAACAGAAGCUCAAAAGACAUCCACCCUGCUAGCCCAGGCUGCCGACCUGGAACCUAUCCCCUGAUCGAAGAAGAAGUAGAAGAAGAACUCCAAAACAAACAAAAUCGCUCUCGCGUCAUGAUCAUCGCAUAACCUGUACCUGCAACUGUUCUGUGAGCCACGAGGACUCAGCAAUCCCAUUACCAUGGGUAUCAAGACUAGCAAAGCUUAAUGGGUAUGGAAAGGAUAAGUGGUGAGGUUGCAGCAGCGACUAAGCAAUGUAUGGUGGCUAACUUACGCAAAUAAGAGCGAGAAGAGAAGCAAUGGAACGGUCGCCAACUAGUAAUGAUCAAGAAGUGAUCCUGAACUCCUACUUACGUCAAACAUAACCCAAAAACCGUGUUCACUUCCCGGACUCCGCCGAAAAGAGACCAUCACGGUUACACACGCAGUUGAUGUGUUUUAGUUAAGUCAAGUGUCAAGUUCUCUACAACCGGACAUUAACAAAUUCCUAUCUACCACAUAACCGCGGGCAUGGCUCUCGAAAGUUUAUACCCUGCAGGGGUGUCCCAACUUAGCCCAUUAUAAGCUCUCACGGUCAACGAAGGAUAUUCCUUCUCCCAGGAAGACCCGAUCAGUCUCGGAAUCCCGGUUUACAAGACAUUUCGACAAUGGUAAAACAAGACCAGCAAAGCCGCCCGAUGUGCCGACAAUCCCGAUAGGAGCUGCACAUAUCUCGUUCUUAGGGCAACACCGGAUGAGACUAGCUACGAGUAAAACCAGACUUCGAGUUUCCCCGAGGUGGCCCCGCAGGCAGCUCGGUUCGGACCAACACUUAGAGAAGCACUGGCCCAGGGGGUUAAAAUAAAGAUGACCCUCGGGAUACGCGACUCCCAAGGGAAAAAGGCUAGGUGAGGCAAAUGUGAAACCAAGGUUGGGCCUUGCUGGAAGAGUUUUAUUCAAAGCGAACUGUCAAGGGGGUCCCAUAAAUCACCCAACCGCGUAAGGGACGCAAAAUCAAGGAACAUAACACCGGUAUGACGAAAACUAGGGCGGCAAGAGUGGAACAAAACACCAGGCAUAAGGCCGAGCCUUCCACCCUUUACCAAGUAUAUAGAUGCUUUAAUUAAAUAAGAGAUAUUGUGAUAUCCCAACAAAAUUCAUGAUAUCCAUGUUCCAACAUGGAACAAACUUCUUCAUCUUCACCUGCAACUAGCAACGCUAUAAGAGGGGCUGAGCAAAAGCGGUAACAUAGCCAAACAAUGGUUUGCUAGGAAGGGUGACAAAGGUUAGAGAUUCAUGGCAAUUUGGGAGGCUUGAUAAGCAAGUGGUAGGUAACGCAGCAUAGCGAUAGAACGAAGCAACUAGCAUAGCAAUGAUAGUAGUGAGAUCCAAGGUGACGGUCAUCUUUCCUGAAAUCCCGCUAGGAAGAAGAAUGAGUCCAUGAAGAAGAUGAAGCCACGAAGACGAACCAAUCGUAGACGAACGAAUCCUCACGAUCGCAACGAAACGGGAACUAUCGAGGAGAAGCACAUCCGGAAAGAAGCAAACAACACGGUAAACACUCAACACAUAGACAAGGCAUGAUGCUCAACCAAGUAUGAUGCAUGACAAGUCUACAUGAAGCUACUCAUGGCAAGAGAUGAGGCAUACAAGAGCAACACAUCAAAGAAGGUUUAAAUGAGGCCGGAAACAACAUAUAAAAAAUCCGUAAGUCCUCAUAUGCAAAUUUAGAAUUUGGUCCAGAUCUGAAUAAACCUUAUGUUCAACUAGUUAAACAGCAAAAUAAAAUGCACCAAGAUGAUCUACACGAAAUUCUAGUCAAGUUACAUAUAAAGUUCAUUAGAUUCGGAGAUACGGCCUAGAAGAUAUGAGCAAAACAAGUUAAACAUAGCAUUGAUGCAAAAUGCAUUCAAACAUCAAGCAAACACCUCAAAACAAGGAUGCAACAAGACAAUAUGGAACUACAUGCAAUUCUAAGCAAGUUACAUAUAGAACAUGCUCAAAACGGAGCAACGGUGCAACACAUACACUCCAAACAAGAUAUAGCAACAAUCUGUCCAAAACAGCAACUAGGCAUAUUGCAAGCAUCAUGAAAAUAUGCUACAGCACCCCAACAUGAUAACAAAAGGCAUGGACAUGAUGUACAGGUAAAGCAUUACAAAACAUGAACACUGAGCUAUUCCCAGAAAUCACUAGAACAUGCUCAAAAGGACAUGGCAAGAUUGCAAAUAAUAACAGUUUCACAGACUUAGCAGAAAUCACUGGACAUGGCAGAAAUAACAUCAGGUUGCAAAGUUUAGAGCUAUCAAACAACAUGCUACAGGAACAUAUCAUAGCAAACAAAGCCAUGGAAUGAAUCUACUAAUUGCAUAGAACAAAAAUCCCUUACUGAUCACGAGCCAAAAGGCACAGAAUAUAUGAUGGCAUCCAUGUAAACAUAGCAAGUUUCAUACACAGAUUCAGACAGCAGAAAAACUGAGCAUGGCAUAAACAGAAUUAUGAAGGCAUCUUUGCGAGAUCAAAUCACUCAUCACAAAGCAUUUCAUGGCAUAUUAAGGCAUCCAACAGUAAGAUGGCAUAAUUAUGAAGCUAAGAAUGGCAAGAGCAAGUUCAUAGGGUGCAUGGAUCACUAGCAAAACACAUGUCAAAACUUUACUUCAUGUUAACAGGCUGACAGAAACAUUAUUUAACAAUUUGAGAGCAAGUUUGCAACAAUCUACAGAAGGCUAUAAAUGCAAAAAAGGGUAUGGAUGGAUAGAGCAUAACAUGUAUAACAAAACAUCCUUAGUGAAUAUCUCCAGAUUAUGCAUAGAACUCAUGAUGGCAGCAGGUUUACAGGGCAUCACAAUGUUACAGCUACAGACUUGGCAGAAAUUACUAAGUCACAGAAAUCAGCAACAUCACGGAGGCUACUUUGCAUGCUUGUGCUAGUCACCAAAUAGACCACAAAAAUACAAGAUUAAGUCCAAAACACAUGUAGAGCUCAUGCUCAUAGGAUGCACACACAAAACACAAUGAAAAAGACAUCACCAAGUUCUGAUAGCAGACAGCAGUUAACAGCAUAUAGCACUCUUGCAAUGAUGAUUAGGGCAUCAAGAUGAUCUCAAACAAGCAUGACAAAAUGGAACAAAAUUAAGAACAUCUCACAAUGAACAUUUUGAUAUAUUACACGCACAAACUGGAGCAGCAUACAAGAAGUUACAAGCAAUCAAAGAUGCACACAUGAUGCAAAAAUUACUAGGACUUAGUAGAAAUUAGACCUCGCAGAAAACGGGACGGAGAGAUCCGGGGACGGGGAUGCAGCGUUUGGUUGGGCGAGUUGGUGGAUCUGAUCCACCUUCCGGAUUCGGCCGGAGUAGAGCUCCGGCGAGCUCGGCUCCGGCGAGGCGAGGAGGAGGACGGCGAGGGCGGCGCGGUGAGGAGGGAGCAGGGGCGGCGGCGCUCGNNNNNNNNNNNNNNNNNNNNNNNNNNNNNNNNNNNNNNNNNNNNNNNNNNNNNNNNNNNNNNNNNNNNNNNNNNNNNNNNNNNNNNNNNNNNNNNNNNNNNNNNNNNNNNNNNNNNNNNNNNNNNNNNNNNNNNNNNNNNNNNNNNNNNNNNNNNNNNNNNNNNNNNNNNNNNNNNNNNNNNNNNNNNNNNNNNNNNNNNNNNNNNNNNNNNNNNNNNNNNNNNNNNNNNNNNNNNNNNNNNNNNNNNNNNNNNNNNNNNNNNNNNNNNNNNNNNNNNNNNNNNNNNNNNNNNNNNNNNNNNNNNNNNNNNNNNNNNNNNNNNNNNNNNNNNNNNNNNNNNNNNNNNNNNNNNNNNNNNNNNNNNNNNNNNNNNNNNNNNNNNNNNNNNNNNNNNNNNNNNNNNNNNNNNNNNNNNNNNNNNNNNNNNNNNNNNNNNNNNNNNNNNNNNNNNNNNNNNNNNNNNNNNNNNNNNNNNNNNNNNNNNNNNNNNNNNNNNNNNNNNNNNNNNNNNNNNNNNNNNNNNNNNNNNNNNNNNNNNGGCGGAUCGGGCCUGCGCGGGCCCACGACGGGCUCCGCAGGCCGGCGGCUGCGGGGGGAGGCCAGGGUGCGACGUGGCCGGCGGGGAUUGGUGCGGGAGGCGGCGGAGAUGAUGUGGCGCCACAGGAUUGGCUGGGCGACGUGCCGGCGGACACGUCCGGCGCGGGUGGACAAGUCUGACUGCGGGAGGAGGAAGAAGCUAGGGUUAGGGUAGGAUUUGAUCCGAAAAUUCGGGGGAGGGGAUGUUUAAAUAGGCAGAGGGAGCUAGGAGAGUCCAAAUGAGGUGCGGUUUUCGCCCACACGAUCGUGAUCGAACGACCGAGAGCAUGGAGGGGGUUUGGAUGGGCUAGUGGGCUGUGGUGAAGGGGUGCUAGGCUGCAAAGAGAAGGGGGCUUCGGGCUACGCGGUUAACCGUUGGGGUAUCAAACGACCUCCAAAUGGAACGAAAUUUGACGGGCGGUCUACUGGUGCUAUACCAAGGCCACUCGGAAAAUCUCGGACCAUUCCGAGAACGUUUUUCUCCCGCUCACGAAAAGAAAACAGAGGGGCGACGGGCGCGCGCGAGAGUAUCGGAUCGCGAAACGGACAACGGGGAAAAGGACCGGAUGCAAGUUUUGAAAAACAUGCAGAUGAAAUGCAGAUGACGACAUGGCAAAAUGCAACACGCAAGCAAAAGACAUGGCAAUGAUGGCGAAUAACUGGAAGACACCUGGCGCAUCGAAUCCGGGGCGUUACAGUUUUGUUUGACAGUAUUGCUAAAGCACAUAUAGAUGUGCUCUAAGUAAUGCACAUCUAGGUCCUAUGCCAUUGAUGUUACGCGAAGAUUCGUGCAGAUAUUUUUCUUUGUCUUUUUUCUUUUCCUUUCUAGUUUGACUAUUACUGGUUUUAUCAAUAAGAAGAGCUCAAUGUAUUGCUUGCCAACUGUCCUACUCCGUUCGUACCGGUACCGGUGCAUAAUCCUAAAACUCGUUCCUUGUUUUUGUCCUGAAAAAGGAAACUAGCCAAAUAGCCAAUAGGAGUCCUGCGCAACCCCGGGAAUUUGGAGCGACUGGGUACAAAUAAUUAUGGUUGAUUAUAUCAGCGGUUAGAUAAUACGUCAACCCNNNNNNNNNNNNNNNNNNNNNNNNNNNNNNNNNNNNNNNNNNNNNNNNNNNNNNNNNNNNNNNNNNNNNNNNNNNNNNNNNNNNNNNNNNNNNNNNNNNNNNNNNNNNNNNNNNNNNNNNNNNNNNNNNNNNNNNNNNNNNNNNNNNNNNNNNNNNNNNNNNNNNNNNNNNNNNNNNNNNNNNNNNNNNNNNNNNNNNNNNNNNNNNNNNNNNNNNNNNNNNNNNNNNNNNNNNNNNNNNNNNNNNNNCUUCAAUUGGCAGUUCCUCUUCUCUGCAUACCCCGCUUAAGUGUUCGCCAUCUUCAUCAUCCCAUGCAGGCCACGCUACACACUGGCACACACUCUGCAGCCAUGUUGAGCGACAGCAAGGACGACAGUUCAACCAGCAGUCUCGCGCCCGAUGAUAGGUCAACAUCGGAAUCAUCCCGCUCGUCUUCCAUGAGUCUGGCAUCGAGCCCGAACCUCGAUUAUAUCCGGUUCAUGGAAGGGACGCCGCCUCCGGAGUCGUCAGACGACAACCAGACAGACGAGGAGCUGUCGGAGGACGAAGAAGAGGACGACGAUGAUGAGGAGGAGGAAUGGUCGAACGAGGAGGAGGAGGAUGACGACAGCAACGACGAUGACAACGGUGGCGGUGAUGAAAAGCCAACGGUCAGCGGCAAGAAGCGUCCUCGCUAAGACGAUGUUGCGGGGCCAUCCAACAACAACAACAACAACAAGGACUAAAUUAAGCAGACUGUAUAUAUCUCUGUUUAUCCUGUCAAUCUCAUCGCAGACGGUUAGUAAUAUGUAUUCGACAGAGAUCUUCUACAUUAUCGCCCACAGGAUGGUUUGUUGAACUAUGUGCCCUGACGAGCACACAAUUCACAAAAAAAAGACCGUAUGGAUGUCUAUAAUGAUCGCACACAAUUCUGAUUACCGGCUUGUUUGCCGGUAUCACACACAUCUUGUUACGCCGGAUCAUUUGUGUUCACCUCAAUCAUCGCAAACGGUUCAUCGGAGUGAACUGUCUGCCGUAUAUCGCACACACCUUGAUCUGGCUGCAUGUUUCUGUUGUUCUGUCUCAUCGCAAACAGUUCAUACAGAUCAACCGUAUGCCCCUCAUCGCACACGCAACUAAAAUCUGAACCGUGUUUGAUGUAUCACUCAUCGCAAAUGUUUUGCAUCUUUUUUGACGGGUUUUUUACAUCACCAUUUGCGAUUAAUGCAUCACACAUAGUUUCGUUAAAGGGUCUCUGAUUGCAGUGUCGCGUUAGCAGCAACCUGCAGUAGUGUAUCCUACAUCUGUCGUGCGUAGAAGCGCGAGAAUACUGUUUGAACAAAAAUUUCAUGAUGAAAAAUGAGAGGAAUCUUUUGGAAUAGUAGAGGUCUGGUGGACUUGUCUAAAAGAAGAUUCCUUGCGGAAGCAUCUGUGGGACAUAAGUUGGACUUUAUUGCCUUAAUUGAGAGGGGUAGGGAUAAUUUUACAUCACAAUUUCUUAACACCAUAUCUGGUGGUGCUGAUUUUGAUUGGCACUGUAUACCCCCAAGAGGAAGGUCCGACUCGAUUUUACUUGCGGUCAAGUGCGAGACGCUAGAAGCUCUCAAUGUUGUGCUUGGGGACUUCGCCGGCAAAUUCAGGAUGCGCUCGAAAAUUGAUGGGUUUCGAUGGGCGCUAGUUUCUGUGUAUGGGGCCGCUCAACCAGAACUCAGGUUUCCUUGUCGACUUGUGCGGAUCUGCGGGGACGAGAGGCUCCCUAUCUUGGUUGGAGGUGAUUUUAACAUCAUCAGACGGAGAGAAGAAAAAAUAAUGAUAACUUUGAUGGCAAAUGGUCAUUCAUGUUUAAUACUAUUAUCGAAAGUAUGCACCUGAGGGAGAUAGAGCUCAUAUGCAGACAGUUCUCCUGGGUGAACACAUUGCAGAAUCCAACAUAUGAGAAGUUGGAUCGAGUUCUCACCAGCUUUCAGUGGGAGCAGAAGUUUCCUUUGGUGAUGGUGCAAGCCCUACAUAGGGGCAUUUCGGACCACACUCCAUUGCUUGUUGACUCUGGGGGGCGACCCAUGUGGGAAACAAGAAUGUCUUCUCUUUAUAACUAGCAUGGUUUCAGAGAGGGGGCUUCAUUAAUCUAUUAUCCCGGGAAUGGUCUAAGGUCAUAGGAGGGAGGUCUAAUGUUGAGCGAUGGCAAAAUAAGAUUAGGCAUUUGUGGCAAUUCCCGAGGGGCUGGGCUAAGAAUGAAAGCGGAAUUUAUAAGGUGGAAAAAGAUAGGCUUAUGCACCUUAUAAAUGAACUCGGCCUAAAGGCAAAAUCUGUCUUACUAGAUGCAGACGAACAGGCAUCUAAGAUGGAGGCUGAGCAGAAAUUACGAGCGCUUCUUAGAGAAGAAGAGAUGAAAUUGGCACUUAGAGAUAAAGUGAGGCAGGUCGUCCAAAGGUGAUGACAAUACUCAGUUCUUUAAUUUGAUUGCAGAUGGAAAACACGGGAAGAAGAAAAUCUUCUAGCUAGAACGGGAUGAGGGUACAAUCGUAGGACAUGAGAACCUAAAAUUGUACAUCUCUAACUACUAUAAACAGCUUUUUGGUGCUCCUAAGGACAAUUUUGUGUCUCUUAAUGAACACAUGGUAGGGGAUAUUCCUCGCCUCGGGAUAGACAAGAAUGAGAUUUUAUCUGUGCCAUUCAUGGAGAAAGAGGUGUUUGAGGCCAUGUCACAGAUGAAGAAUAAUAAGGCACCUGGCCCAGAUGGCUUCCCAGCUGAAUUAUAUAAGAAAUAUUGGCAUAUUAUUAAGGGUGCCUCGUGCCAAUGUUCCAUGACUUGUUUAAUGGCCAACUAUGGCUAUUCCACCUAAACUUUGGAACAAUAACGUUGUUGCCAAACAAGGUGGAGGCAGUGCAUAUUGAGCAGUUCAGACCGAUAUGUCUGCUCAAUGUGAUAUUUAAAUUUUUUACAAAAGUUGAUCCAACCGAUUGACGCGGAUUGCACAUAGUGUGGUGCAACCAACUCAGACGGCUUUCAUGUCGGGCAGAAACGUACUAGAGGGUGUGGUUGUCCUACAUGAAACACUACACGAGAUCCACUCAAAGAAACUAGAUGGGGUGGUCUUCAAGGUGGAUUUCGAAAAAGCAUAUGAUAAGGUUAAAUGGUCGUUUCUCCACCAAGCCAAACUAUGAUGGGGUGGUCUUGAAGGGAUUCGAUGAUUCAUGGAGGAAUCAGGUCAAUUCUUUUGUACAAAAAUGUAGCAUCGGGAUUAAAGUAACUAUGACAUAGGUCACUACUUCCAGACUCAAAAGGGUCUAAGACAGGGGGACCCCAUGUCACCUAUAUUGUUCAACAUAGUGGUAGACAUGUUGGCAAUUCUCAUAGGUAGAGCUAAGGAGGACGGACAAGUAGGAGAACUAGUACCACAUCUUGUGGAUGGUGGGGUGUCCAUACUACAAUACGUGGAUGAUACUAUCAUUAUCAUGGAACAUGACAUGGAAAAGGCCAGAAAUAUGAAGCUCGUGUUAUGCCUGUUCGAACAAUUGUCGGGUUUGAAGAUUAAUUCUAACAAAAGUGAAUUGUUCUGUUUUGGGAGAGCCAAGGAGGAACAAGAAGCUUAUAGACAAUUGUUCGGAUGUGAACUGGGUACCCUACCGUUUAGUUAUCUGGACAUACCAAUUCACCAUCGCAUGCCCUCUAAUAAGGAAUGGAAGUGGAAUAAAGAUCGAUUUGAAAAAAAACUAAGUUGUUGGAAGGGUAACCUUAUGUCUUAUGGGGGCCGGCUGGUACUGAUAAAAUCAAUACUCACGAGUAUCCCGAUGUUCCUUUUGUCUUUCUUUGAAGUACUGCUACUUGUGUGCUAUGUUGGGAUUUCCCCAAAGAGGAGAGGAUGAUGCAGUACAGUACAGAUAAGUACUUCCCUCGGUUAAGAACUAAGGUUAUCAAUCCAUUAGGAGAACCACGCGAAACCUCGUUAGCAGCACCUACAAACAAAAGAGCAAAUACUUGCACCCAACGCGGUCAAGGGGGUUGUGAAUCCCCUUGGUGGUUGUUUGCAAGGAUCAAAUCUGAUAGUGAUAGAUACAUAAAAUAAAACACACAAUAUAAUAAUGGUAAAUAAAUUGCAGUAAGGUAUUUUUGGAUUUAAUGUAUGAUAAAGGUAGAUCCGGGGGCCAUAGUUUUCACUAGAGGCUUCUCUCUCGAACAAAAAGCAUACGAUGGGUAGACAAAUUAUCGUUGGGUAAUUGAUAGAAAAGCACAUAGUUAUGACGAUAUUCAAGGCAAUGAUCAUGUAUAUAAGCAUCACGUCCGAGACAAGUAGACCGACUCCUGCCUGCAUCUACUACUAUUACUCCACCCAUUGACCGCUAUCCAGCAUGCAUUUAGGGUAUUAAGUUCAUAAAAAAUGGAGUAACGCCUUAAGUAAGAUGACAUGUAGACAAAGUAAACCCAAGCAAUAUGAAUAAACCCCGUCGUUUUCCCCUUAAUGGCAACAAUACAAAUACGUGUCAUGUCCCCUUCUGUCACUAGGAUUGAGCACCGCAAAAUUGAAACCAUUAUAAAGCACCUCUCCCAUUGCAAGAUCAAUCAAUCUAGUUGGCCAAACCAAACGGAUAGAUCGAAGAGAAAUACAAAGCUAUAAUAAUCAUGCAUAAAAGAAUUCAGAGAAGACUCAAUUAAUAUUCAUGAAUAAUCUAAUCAUAAACCCACAAUUCAUCGGAUCCCAACAAACACACCGCAAAAGAAGGUUACAUCGAAUAGAUCUCCAAGAACAUCGAGGAGAACAAUGUAUAUAUUGAAGAUCAAAGAGAGAAGAAGCCAUCUAGCUACUAGCUAUGGACCCGUAGGUUUGUGGUAAACUACUCACACAUCAUCGGAAGGGCAGGAAGGUUGAUGUAGAGGCCCUCCCUGAUCGAUUACCCCUCCGGCAGAGUGCCGAAAAAAGCCUCCAGAUGGGAUCAUGGAAGAACAGAAACUUGCGGUGGCGGAAAAGUAUUUUUGGGUGGCUCUCUGAUGUAUUAGGAAUAUUUGGGAAUUUAUAGAGGUGGAAUUAGGUCAAGAGGUGCCACAAGGGGCCCACAAGCCUGGAGGGUGCGCCUCCCGAGCUUGUCGCUUCCUCAUGGCUCUUCAAGUCUUCUCCCAAGCCUUCUAGGGUCCCUUCUGGUCCAGAAAAAAUUAAUCCAAAGUUUUUUCUCCGUUUGGACUCUGUUUGAUAUUGAUUUUCUGAAAAGCAAAAAUAACAACUAGCACUGUGCACUAGAUUAAUAGGUUAGUCCCAAAAAGUGAUAUAUAAUUGCAUAAAAACAACCAAGAUUGAUACUAUAAUAGCAUGGAAAAAUAAAAAAUUAUAGAUACGCUGGAGACGUAUCAAGUACCUGCAUGGGUACGGAAAAGGUUAGAUUUCUAUCGAACACAAUUUUUUUGGCAACGCGAUGAAAUAAAGAGAAAGUAAAUGCUUACUAAAUGGGAUAUCAUUUCUAGACCGAAGGACCAAGGUGGGCUCGGCAUUGAGAAUUUAGAGGUAAAAAAUAGAUGCCUGCUCAGUAAAUGGUUAUACAGGCUUUCUGUUGAGAGUGAAGGCAUGUGGGUACAAUUUUUGCGUAAUAAGUACCUAGAGUCUAAAAUCUUGGCCCAGGUUACCGUUAGACCCAAUGAUUCACCUUUAUGGAAGGGGUUGAUGAGAGUGAAAACGGCCUUCUUCCAUAGAACAAAAUUCAUCAUUGGAAACGAUAAUAGUGCUAUUUUCUGAGAGGAUACUUGGCUAGGGGAGGCGCCUUUAGCAACACAAUAUAUUUCCCUGUAUAAUAUUGUACAACGGAAGGAGGCUUAUGUUGUUACAGUAUUACAGUCUACACCUCUAAACAUUCAGUUCCGGAUUAAUAGGAGACCGAUGGAACACUUGGUUACAUCUUGUGCGGAGGUUGAUGGACGUUACCUCUCUAAUGAGCCAGAUAUCAUUCACCGGAGAUUAUCUAUGAACGAAAUAUUUUCAGUGAAAUCUAUGUAUGUAGACCUAAUUAAAUCUGGUCCAAUUCCGAGAUCUAUACAUAUUUGGAAAAUUAAAGUGCCUUUAAGAGUCAAAGUCUUCAUGUGGUUUGUUCACAAGUAGGUGAUCCUGACUAAGGAUAAUUUGGCAAAGCGAAGUUGGGAGGGCAAUCAACGAUGUUUCCUUUGUGAUCAAGAUGAAUUGAUUACGAGUGUCCGCUGGCUAGACUAUUAUGGCAUUCAGUUCAUAUAGCCUUUAACAUUACCCCUCCAAAUAGUAUUCACACGUUAUUUGGGACGUGGCUAAAUGGAGUUGAUCCAACUAUUGUGACACAUAUUCGGUUAGGAGUAUGUGCAUUACUUUGGGCUAUAUGAAACUGCAGAAAUGAUAUGGUUUUUAACAGACAGAGUCGAAUUAAUUUUUUACAGGUUAUCUACAAGACCACUACUUGGAUCCAUACGUGGUCGUUACUCACUCCUGUGGAAGUUAGGGAGCCUUUGGUUACUGGGUCUACCCGAUGAGAGAUGGUAGCUCAGGACAUCUACAACCGGUUUGGAUGGGGUCCAAUAAUAGGUUAGGUGUUUAGUCAUCUCGUCCUAUUUUUGCCGGUUGUGGCAUUUUACACUUAUUUGCACUUUUCUUCAGCUCCGACCAAGCUUGUACUAGACUGCAGACAUUUUCGGAUGUUUUUCUUAAUAAUAUGGCUACAUGCAUCACUCUUGAUGCAGAAACCGGGGGUAAUCCUCCUUUUUCAAAAAAAGAAAGAACAUUACCAGCAACCAUUAUUUAUUUUUUAACAUCAACAGCAAACAUUACCAGCAACCAUUAUCUAUACCUACUAAUAAAAGAAAUAGGUAUUCUUAGUCCGUCAUGCUAUUUUAUAGAAAACCCCACUGAUGUUUCUGGCAUUAAACCCGUAGUAUAUAUCAAAUGUUUUUUAAAAUACUCAUAUCUUCUAGACAGUAACUCCAAAUUUAACAUGUUAUAUAUGGAAUUUGAUUAGAAAAAUAUGUAAAAUCUGAAUAUGAUGUUAUUUUACAUGUUAACCAUUUAAAAAAAUACUAUCUAGGGUGCAAUCCUAAAGUGCAUUAUCCGCGUUUCUUUCAUAUCAGUACUGAUCCGGAUUGUGGAUGAAUAUCUCAGCAAAAUCAAGAUUGGGGGCGAAAUUGAAGGUCUCUUGCCCAUUUCUUUGCCCUUUUAUUUGUACGUAUUAAAUCUACAUGCAAACUGUGUUUAAUUAGAAGACAUGUGGAAUCUUGAACUUGCGCUUUUGUAGGCAAAGACCAUCUUUGUUUGGGUGGUAGCUACAAAUACUUAGAUUAUAGACAAUUUUUUAUAAAUUAAGAGUGUGGGGUAUUCUUUUCUCCCGUUGCAACGCACGGGCCCUUUUGCUAGUUAUCCUAACGUAAAACAGAAAGACCACAGCAGGGGUACUGCAUUAGGCAAAAAACAGGAAGAGAACAUCACCACUUCUCAUCAGGCCUGAAAAACGAGAUGGAGAACAGAAUCCAUAGGCGCACGAGAGUAAAAAAAAAGUGAAACAAAUGGCAAAAGAUUUGCCAUAUUUCCUAGCAAAAGUGCGGUAUUUGGUUAAGUCACAAGCGCGUCUGCCUAUAAGGAUUAACCACCAUACAUUGACCAUUGUCCAACCAACAAGAACUGUUAGAGACUGCUCGCUGCUUGGUUUCUGAUUUCCCAAACCUGUGCGUGGCUGUUUACCAAAGGACCUGGAUAGCAGGGAUCAAGUGGGGGUGCCGUGGGUGCCAUGACGCCCCCUCCAAAGUCGUAAAAUAAAUUUUACUAUGUACCUAACACUAAAUAUCCGUUCACUUGUUUAUUUUCAGACCAUUUGUUGAGAUAAUGAUGAUGUUUAGAGUAAACUUUAAACUGUGGCACCCCAAGCCUGCAAUUCUAUGUCGGGCCACCGCUGGGUAGUGCAGGCCAAAUCCUUUUGGCUACAUAUACAGUACAGAAGGAACAGGUGAAGCACUGGGAGUCUGGGACUGGGUAGAGCCUCGAUGUUAUCUCCUCAGUUUCUUUGUUCGUUUAUCUCCUCUCAAGGUUAUGCCUAGUGAUUAUAAUCUUGUUAUUGAGACAUUAAUCAGAGGAACACUUGCCCUCUAGGCCCCUAUCACACACACCGGUCUACUGCUGUCAUCGCCAGAGUUAUCCGACAGCAAGGAUCACCGAGUGUCAGCGGUUGCAAGCAUGGACAGCAAAGCAUAACUUCAGAGAUUCAGUAGCCACAAGCACAAUGAGACUGCCAGGUUUAACAUCUGUACAUAUACAGUUUGGCACUGCACAUUCAUUCGUCUCCACGGCUAGAAACAUGCCACUCCUGUCCUCAUCUAUCAACACUUCCAUCUCUGAGGCUUGGCUGUUGCCUGCAGCUGUAGGUCACGGCACCCGACCGACACCAGCCACAGUUGAAAAAUCCAAUGAACAUCACUUGUGGGAUAUUCUAGUAUCGCAGUAAAUAGAUGCCACUCCAGUGUGUCAGUUCAGAUGUUCAGUUUAUCGGAGUAUACUAAGUUUUACUAUGAUUCAGAAAAUGCUAGUACUGUUUGUUUUCCUAUGUAGAAUCUCACAAAACAAAAAAUGCACCAAUAAAAAUGGAUGGCUAAUCUCUACAUCGUCAGCUUAGAAACAGCAUUGUACCACAGCAUCAAAUGACGAUGCUGCUUUAUUAUCAAAGCAUAAGGAAAUCUUCAGGUUCAGCACCACCAAGCAAAAAAAAAGACAACAGAGCAAACGGGAACAUGUUUCAACAAAGAACAAAUUAAAAACAGUUCAUCUUCAUCACAUUUCACAGGAAACGAACAAGGCAGACGCAACUCAGCGCCCUACCAACAGCAAAUCCUCUCCGGAGUUCAGGUCCACUGCAAAAACUCCAAGCCUUUCUUUUCAUCUCCGCCUCAC